rnacentral:piRNA from 1 species
UGGACUCUGGAGCCGACAUGACGAGA